AAAACAUAAAGCAAACAUUAAUGCCCAGACAAUUGAUGUAGUAAGUUCCUUUAUAUUUCAGUGCACUGAAUGGACACAUAGAGAUAACAAAGAUACUGUAGAGAAACUAUGCGGACUGUAAUAUGUGUAUCUAUAGUAAACAAUAUAUAACAGAUACAUUUACUAACCAUGAACAGAAAACAUUAGACAAAGGAAAACAAAUUGUACUUGAUAGCCUGGUAGAGAAUACAUCAUCACAUGUAACAGUUAUGUUCAGUAAGAAGUCAGUGGAUUAUGCCUUGAUGUAGUAGCUGGUUCUUCGCCAUUACACAUAGCCUGUUUUUGGGUAGGACAGCAUAUGAGUAUGUUGUCUUCUGGACCACAAUGCCAACAUCAACAUGCAGAAAGAAGAUGGCACCACACCACUAUUUUAUGCAUGCGAAGUAGGACAUGAGGAUAUUGUACCGUUUAUUGUUAGAUAAAGGAGGCAGUUACAGAAGUAUGUAGACUUGAUGGAAAAUCCCUUUAGACAUUGCAACAAUAAUGGACAUACAUCUAUAGUAGUGACUGUAACAGAACAUAUGAAGAAGAGGAAACUCUUGUUCUAUUAAGUCAUGAUAGUCUACCAUAGACUACCAUUGAUGACAUAGUUAAACUGUAUAUAAGUAUGGAC
rnacentral:lncRNA from 1 species